GUAGGUGGCAAGCGUUGUCCGGGAAUUAUUGGGCGUAAAGCGCGCGCAGGCGGUUCUUUAAGUCUGAUGUGAAAGCCCACGGGCUCAACCGUGGAGGGUCAUUGGAAACUGGAGGACUUGAGUACAGAAGAGGAAAGCGGAAUUCCACGUGUAGCGGUGAAAUGCGUAGAGAUGUGGAGGAACACCAGUGGCGAAGGCGGCUUUCUGGUCUGUAACUGACGCUGAGGCGCGAAAGCGUGGGGAGCAAACAGGAUUAGAUACCCUGGUAGUCCACGCCGUAAACGAUGAGUGCUAAGUGUUAGGGGGUUUCCGCCCCUUAGUGCUGCAGCUAACGCAUUAAGCACUCCGCCUGGGGAGUACGGCCGCAAAGGCUG
rnacentral:rRNA from 1 species